UACGAAGGGUGCAAGCGUUAAUCGGAAUUACUGGGCGUAAAGGGUGCGUAGGCGGUUCGUUAAGUCUGUCGUGAAAUCCCCGGGCUCAACCUGGGAAUGGCGAUGGAUACUGGCGAGCUAGAGUGUGUCAGAGGAUGGUGGAAUUCCCGGUGUAGCAGUGAAAUGCGUAGAGAUCGGGAGGAACACCAGUGGCGAAGGCGGCCUUCUGGACCAGUACCGACGCUCAUGCACGAAAGCGUGGGGAGCAAACAGG
rnacentral:rRNA from 1 species